UUAGGAGUGUGCGCUUCGAGUCAUGUGAACUGAAACCUGUGGACUUCCCACAGCCCAGCGGGACCCACCUUCCCAAGCAGCAGGCCCGGAGCCUCGAGCUGACACGUCAAUCCUUGUGUUUCGUGCAGAUUUAGAAGGAAGGGCACCUGGAACCCCAGACGCACUUCAUUCACUGCAAACCCUGUGCCCUUAACCUGUUUCCAGUAUUCGGAGGAAUUACUGAUUGCUCACCAGAAUUGUUGUACAACUCACCGUCUCACCAGCAGUACGGAAGACCGUCUGCUCUUAUGAUUCCAGCUUCUUUUAAUAUAUGACACCGCUUUUGAAAGACGGUGGUUGGUAAUUUGUGAAGCCGCUGACUCCCCAGAUGACGUU